AACGUAGGUACCGAGCGUUAUCCGGAUUUACUGGGCGUAAAGCGCGUUCAGGCGGUUUGGCCAGUCGGGCAUGAAAUCUCUCGGCUCAACCGGGAGGGGCUGUCCGAAACUGCCAGACUUGAGGGCAGUAGAGGGUGGUGGAAUUCCGGGUGUAGUGGUGAAAUGCGUAGAGAUCCGGAGGAACACCAGUGGCGAAGGCGGCCACCUGGGCUGCCCCUGACGCUCAAACGCGAAAGCUAGGGGAGCGAACGGG
rnacentral:rRNA from 1 species